rnacentral:rRNA from 2 species
GGGCGUCUCUUUCUCGUUACGAGUGGAGGCGCACCUGUAGCGCACACGCUGAUACCCGAAAGAUGGUGAACUAUGCCUGGCCAGGACGAAGCCAGGGGAAACCCUGGUGGAGGUCCGCAGCGAUUCUGACGUGCAAAUCGAUCGUCGGAGCUGGGUAUAGGGGCGAAAGACCAAUCGAACCAUCUAGUAGCUGGUUCCCUCUGAAGUUUCCCUCAGGAUAGCUUGCGCUCGGUUGAGACGAGUCUCAUCCGGUAGAGCGAAUGAUUAGAGGCCUUGGGGUCGAAACGACCUCAACCUAUUCUCAAACUCCAAAUAGAUGAGAUCCCCGGCUUGCUUGAAAGUGAAGCCGCGGGAAUCGGAUCAGAGUGCAAAGUGGGCCAAUUUU